GAGAUAAACACAUGUAGUACCUUCAGUUUCAGGCAAUGUCAUGAACCUAAGACUACUCAGAUAGUAAGGUAUUGAAGGAGGAAAUAUAAGAGAUAUCAACCCAAAGUCCAAACUGCUAAUAAAGAAAACGAAGGGUCAACGAGGAGUGACCCAUCUCAAACAACAUCGAAGUUUAUCAAGAACUAUUUCAAACAGAGUAGAGAGUACGAUGCUAAUUCAUUUCAGAAUAACCUCAGAAUCGAAGUAUAUAUACGGCUCUUAAAUCGCGAAACCAGGAAUCAGUUUCAUGUCAUUGGUAUCAAAUUCCUCUGCAUUAAUCCAAAAGAACAAAUUGUCAGAAAAACUAAGCGUUUUGACAGUUAAAGACAAGGUUUUUUUUUAAUUAAUACAUUAAGAUACAAGAUAUAAACCUCGACAAGCUUUUCAAGCGAAUUCCGAGAAAUUUUUUUACCUUCGAAAAUCAAAUAGCUCAUGGUUCUCCCUAAGACCGAUCGCUAGCUUGUCUACACUUGAAGUCAUCCUCGCGAAACUGCU
rnacentral:lncRNA from 1 species